AGUUGCUCCGGCGGCGCUCGGGGAGGGAGCCAGGUGAGCCGCACUGGUGGCAGGGGAAGGGGGCGGGAUGCUCGGCGACCCCACCCUCCGACCCUCUCCUCUUCCGCCGACAUCCACCCGAGCCACCAACAUCAGGAAAGGGGGCGUAGGGCGAGGGAUGGGAGAGGGAACAGGGCAGGAGAGAGGAUGGGAUUAGGAGAAAGACGAUCCCUUUGGGGGAGGGGCGCGUGGAGUAUGAGUGUGUGUGAGUGUGCGUGUGUGCAAGGUGUGGUUGCACGGAUGCUCGUUGCUUCUGCGUAUCUGCGGGUGUGUGCCUGUUUGUACUGUAGCCUGGAGUCAGUGCUCGGUUCUGCGCCUGCAGGAUGCCCAUGUGUCUGCUGGGUGGUUCUGUGCCUUUGGGCUUUGCCGUUCGUGUCCGUGCCUUCGCCACUGGGGGCUGGUCUACAUUUGCGUUUCCGUACAUGGUCCUUUUUGUUUCUGGAGAGUAAAUUCCUGGAGCAAUUGCUAAGCCUGCCUGCUGUCACCUGGCUGACAGGGAGGCCCGCCCCCUUCUCUCAGCAGCCUGGGGCCCAGGCCCGGGCCACCAUGGCGCUGCCUUCGGGCCCAGCCGCCCUCCGGCACACACUGCUGCUCCUGCCAGCCCUUCUGAGCUCAGGUACACCCCUGUUCAGUCGUUGACCAAGUCCUUCUGGGGUCCAAAGUCCCCUCUCUCCCCUGUCUGCACUUCUGUUUGGGUACCCACUCCAGGCCCCAAGCCCUGGAGUCCCUGUUCCCUUCACCCACCUACCCUAGGUCCAACCAGCCAGUCCCUGGUAAGAGGACUCAGGCGCCCUUUCCCUUGGUCUGCUGCUCCUCUCACUGGGCCAAUUCCGGUCACAGCACAGUACCAGCCCUGCCUGAGCCCUUCCCAGAGCCCCCCUGCUGUGUUCCAGGUUGUGGGGAGUUGGAGCCACAAAUAGAUGGUCAGACCUGGGCUGAGCGGGCACUUCGGGAGAAUGAACGCCACGCCUUCACCUGCCGGGUGGCAGGGGGGCCUGGCACCCCCAGAUUGGCCUGGUAUCUGGAUGGACAGCUGCAGGAGGCCAACACCUCAAGACUGCUGAGCGUGGGAGGGGAGGCCUUCUCUGGAGGCACCAGCACCUUCACAGUCACAGCCCAUCGGGCUCAGCAUGAGCUCAACUGCUCCCUGCAGGACCCCAGCAGUGGCCGAUCAGCCAACGCCUCUGUCAUCCUCAAUGUGCAAUUCAAGCCAGAGAUUGCCCAAGUCGGUGCCAAGUACCAGGAAGCUCAGGGCCCAGGCCUCCUGGUUGUCCUGUUUGCCCUGGUGCGUGCCAACCCGCCUGCCAAUGUCACCUGGAUCGACCAGGAUGGGCCAGUGACUGUCAACACCUCUGACUUCCUGGUGCUGGAUGCGCAGAACUACCCCUGGCUCACCAACCAUACGGUGCAGCUGCAGCUCCGCAGCCUGGCACACAAUCUCUCGGUGGUGGCCACCAAUGACGUGGGUGUCACCAGUGCCUCGCUUCCAGCCCCAGGCCCCUCCCGGCGCCCAUCUCUGAUAUCAAGUGACUCCAACAACCUAAAACUCAACAACGUGCGCCUGCCACGGGAGAACAUGUCCCUACCGUCCAACCUUCAGCUCAAUGACCUCACUCCAGAUUCCAGAGUGAAACCAGCAGACCGGCAGAUGGCUCAGAACAACAGCCGGCCAGAGCUUCUGGACCCAGAGCCCGGCGGCCUCCUCACCAGCCGAGGUUUCAUCCGCCUCCCAAUGCUGGGCUAUAUCUAUCGAGUGUCCAGCGUGAGCAGUGAUGAGAUCUGGCUCUGAGCUGAGGGCGAGACAGGAGUAUUCUCUUGGCCUCUGGACACCCUCCCAUUCCUCCAAGGCAUCCUCUGCCUAGCUACAUCACCAACGCGAAGAAGUUAUGCCACUGCCAGUUUUGCUUGCCCUCCUGGCUGGGGUGCCCUCUAUGUCAUGCACAUGAUGCAUUUCACUGGGCUGUAACCCGCAGGGGCACAGGUAUCUUUGGCAAGGCUACCAGUUGGACCUAAGCCCCUCAUGCUGACUCAGGGUGGGCCCUGCAUGCGAUGACUAGGCCCUUCCAGAGGGAGCUCUUUGGCCAGGGGUGUUCAGAUGUCAUCCAGCAUCCAAGUGUGGCAUGGCCUGCUGUAUGCCCCACCCCAGUACUCCACAGCACCUUGUACAGUAGGCAUGGGGGCGUGCCUGUGUGGGGGACAGGGAGGGCCCUGCAUGGAUUUUCCUCCUUCCUAUGCUAUGUAGCCUUGUUCCCUCAGGUAAAAUUUAGGACCCUGCUAGCUGUGUAGAACCAAAUUGCCCUUUGCACAGGAACCAACCCCUGACCCAGGGGUACUGGCCAAGCACAAACUAGUCCUUUUUGCUACACACCUCUCUGCCCUUCACUUCUUCUCUUCUGUCCCCACCUCCUCUUGGGAAUUCUAGGUUACAUGUUGGACCUUCUCUACUACUUCACUGGGCACUAGACUUUUCUAUUGGCCUGUGCCAUCACCCAGUAUUAGCACAAGUCAGGGAGGAAGAGGCAGGCGAUGAGUGUAGUAGCACCCAGGACGGCUUGUAGCUAUGCAUCAUUUUCCUACGGUGUUAGCACUUUAAGCACAUCCCCUAGGGGAGGGGGUGAGUGAGGGGCCCAGAGCCCUCUUUGUGGCCUCCCCAAGUUUGGCCUUCUGUGAUUCACUGUGAGUGUCCUGAGCUCUCGGGGUUGAUGGUUUUCCUCUCAGCAUGUCUCCUCCACCACGGGACCCCAGCCCUGACCAACCCAUGGUUGCUUCAUGAGCAGGAAGGUGCCCUUCCCGGAGGAUGGUCACCACAGGCACAUAAUUCAACAGUGUGGAAGCUUUAGGGGGACAUGGAGAAAGGAGGAGACCACAUACCCCAAAACAACCUAAGAACGCUUUAAAAAGCAACAUGUAAAUGAUUGGAAAUUAAUAUAGUACAGAAUAUAUUUUUCCCUUGUUGAGAUCUUUUGUAAUGUUUUUCAUGUUACUGCCUAGGACAGUGCUGAGCACACAGUAAGUUUAAUAAACUUGACUGAGUUAAUUUAC
rnacentral:sRNA from 1 species